AUGUCUGGGCUCCCUGGGCGCUCUGCGGGCGUCGUCAACCCUGACCCUCAAGCCAGAGGGUCACUACUCUGUCUGCCAUCCGCCCCGUGCAUCCCAAGCGGCGACACUCGAUUCGUGUCCCCGGGAGACCCUCAGCAGAGAAACCUGCUGCUCCUGGAGCGUCUCAGCAGAGCGUCCAAAAGCAGACUCACUACUGUUGUCCUUGCGUGUCCCGCAGAUCCUGGCCAACCUAGAGCAGGGCCUGGCGGAGGACGGGACCACGAGCAGCAUCGCGCAGGAGAACAGGCAAGGUCAGUGCCGCACGUGUCCCCGGGCCGGCCCAGGCCUGCUCCGGGCCUCAGCCUCUGUCCGUCUCGCCUCUCCCACGCGCAUCUCCUCGCUGCUUUCCUCCCAGAACGAGCAUCCUUUCUAGGAGGUUCUUACCUCAGAGUUGCCCCUUGGUCCUGGCAGCAGGAGGAGGGUCCUCCCCGGGCCUGUUCUGCCCCGGCCUCUCCACCCUCCCACCCCACAUCUCCUCUCCCGCCAGCCCUCGGAGCCUGGCGAGGCAGCUGGGUUAGGAACCGAUGCUUCCACGUAAGCGGGUGGGACACCCAGGCCUCGGGCAGGCAGGCCGCUGUCACCAGGGCUGCGGUGCUGACGCCCCUGUGUGACUGUCCACAGCCCUACAGCGGGGAGCCCCGCCCAUCCACAACCCGCCGGGGUGGCCCCGCUACACGACGGGCUCAUCUCCUGGUCCAGUCAGGCUCUGUCCCCCUGAAGCUGGGCGGCCGUCGAGAGCACAGCCCGAGGAACGCGCCAAGGUGCACAGGAAGCCGUGGCCAGGGCAGGGCCACAGACGUGGGGGCUGCAUCCGUCUGUGGCUGGGCUGCUGGCCACGUCCCUGGGCGCUCACCCCUCCUCUUUUUCAGCCUCCGUGCAGCUGUGGCGGUCCCGCCUGGGCCGCGUGACCUGCUCCAUGGCCAACUGCCUGCUGCUCAUGAAGGACUACGUGCUGGCCGUGGACGCGUACCGCGCGGUCGUCCAGUUCCACCCAGAGCAGGAGCCCCAGGUGCUGAGCUGCAUCGGCCGCAUCUUUCUGCAGGUGCGAGGGGUGGGGGUCGGGGGCUGCACCUCAGCGCGUCCUGUGGGUCUGAGAAAGCGAGGAAGGGUGUCAAGUCAGACGUCUGUUGCUGUCAGAAGGCGGUUUCUUUUUUGGUCCUGGUUUGACUGUACUGAGUAUCAAGCCUCCAGCUUCGAGGUGAUGGGGAGGCCAGUCGCUACACGUCAGUGUACGUAGAUUUCCGUCAGGCAGUGCACAGACGGGUGGCUGAGGCCUUGCCCUGUUGCUGUAGAAACGUGUUGAUGCGAGGAGCCGGCCACCGUGGGCUCCUCUCCCGCCCCAGACCCCCCAGGGCCCCUGGCACCCUCGUCCCUGGGAAGGAGGGGAGAAGCAGGUGUGGGAGCGUCUUCAGUUUCCACCACUGAAACACUCAGGGCGCAGCCGCCAAAACCCUGCGCUCCGGGGGAGGGCCCUAGCUCUUUGCAGCUGAGGCUGGUCUGGGUUUGUGUGUGCAUGUGCAUGCGUACACGUGCGUGCGUGUGUGUGUGCAUGCGUACGUGCGUGCGUGUGUGUGCGUACAUGUGCAUGCGUACACGUGCGUGUGUGUGCGUGCGUGUGCGUGUGCGCCCACUGUUCUCAGGAGCACUUGGUAUCUGUUUUCUGUCUUCAUAGAAGUGGCUUGCUUUUUCUCUCUCUGUCCUCAGAUAAUUCUAGAAUUAUCUGUUGCUGGAAGAUAUGAAGAAUUGACUCAAAGGCCUGAGCCACACUCCUGGGGCUUGUGGGACAAUUUAUCAACAGCUUUAGUGUUCCAUGUGUGGGAGAGGUUUCUUCUCUGUUUCUGGGAUCAAUUUUGGCAGUUUAGAGUGCCAAAAUAGAGAUCACAUGUCCGCUCCGUGUGUCCGCGUGCAUUUGCUUGGAGUCCUGCAAAGUCGUCCUCUCCCGUAAUCGCUUCAGUCUGUUGCCCAAGGCGCUUCUCCUCUCGCCUGUGAUCCUGCUCCACUUACCUCUCUUGUCCUUGACUGCUUCUUCCAUUUCUUAUCUCAUGUUUUUCUUCACAUAACUAGUUUGGGCUUGUUUGUUUGCUUACUAGAUAUAUCACAGUGCUUUUUAUUAUUUGCCUUUUUAAUUGCCUUUUUAUGUACAACUUAAUCACUCAGUUUCUGACAUGUGGACAGAUGUUGACAUCCUGCUGUGUCCUGAAUGGCUUUUGCGUUUUGUUUUUUAAUGAAAAAUGACAGUUAGUAAGUGGUCACCUAAGUUUCACCCCGCCUGACACGUCCCCACCUGACACUGGGGAACUGUAUGUGUGGGUAUAGGUCUAACAUCGUCACCUGAAUUGACUGCUUCAUUUUGUCAAAGCAGAUUGGAGACAUAAAAGCAGCUGAAAAGUACUUUCAAGACGUAGAGAAAGUAACCCAGAAAUUGGAUGGACUGCAGGGCAAAACCAUGGUUUUGAUGAACAGGUGUGUAUUUCUUUUCUGUGAUCUCCAGCUUUGCUGAGCCGUAACUGCAGCACGGUGCAGGUUUAAGGUGAGAACAAUAAUGACUUGACUUCCAUACAUUGGGACAUUGGGAAGUGAUGCCCACAAAAUAGCGAACACUCAUCACCCCAUACGGAUACAAAAUGAGAGACAGAGCGCACUCUCUCCGCGUUCACGGCAACGCACAGCGGUGUGCAUGUGCAUGCGUGCGUGCGUGCGUGUGUGUGCGUACAUGUGCAUGCGUGCGUGCGUGCGUGUGUGUGCGUACAUGUGCAUGCGUGCGUGCGUGUGUGUGCGUGCGUGUGCGUGUGCGCCCACUGUUCUCAGGAGCACUUGGUAUCUGUUUUCUGUCUUCAUAGAAGUGGCU
rnacentral:lncRNA from 1 species